UGGGGAAUAUUGGACAAUGGGCGCAAGCCUGAUCCAGCAAUGCCGCGUGGGUGAAGAAGGUCUUCGGAUUGUAAAGCCCUUUCGACAGGGACGAUGAUGACGGUACCUGUAGAAGAAGCCCCGGCUAACUUCGUGCCAGCAGCCGCGGUAAUACGAAGGGGGCUAGCGUUGCUCGGAAUUACUGGGCGUAAAGGGCGCGUAGGCGGCGUCACAAGUCAGGCGUGAAAUUCCUGGGCUUAACCUGGGGGCUGCGCUUGAGACUGUGGUGCUAGAGGACGGAAGAGGGUCGUGGAAUUCCCAGUGUAGAGGUGAAAUUCGUAGAUAUGGGAAGAACACCGGUGGCGAAGGCGGCGACCUGGUCCGUUACUGACGCUGAGGCGCGACAGCGUGGGGAGCAAACAGGAUUAGAUACCCUGGUAGUCCACGCCGUAAACGAUGUGCGCUGGAUGUGGGGCUCUUAGAGCCUCAGUGUCGUAGCCAACGC
rnacentral:rRNA from 1 species